rnacentral:rRNA from 1 species
AACAAACGCUGGCGGCGUGCCUAAUACAUGCAAGUCGAACGGGGAAAGCUUUCGGGUGAGUACUAGUGGCGCACGGGUGAGUAACGUGUGGAUAAUCUGCCUUAGAGCGGGGGAUAACUAGUCGAAAGAUUAGCUAAUACCGCAUAAGACCACAAGAACUGCGGUUCAAGGGGUCAAAGGUUUUUCGCUCUAAGAUAAGUCCGCGUAAGAUUAGCUAGUUGGUAGGGUAACGGCCUACCAAGGCGACGAUCUUUAACUGGUCUGAGAGGAUGAUCAGUCACACUUGAACUGAGACACGAUCCAGACUCCUACGGGAGGCAGCAGUAGGGAAUAUUGCACAAUGGAGGAAACUCUGAUGCAGCGACGCCGCGUGAGUGAUGAAGGCCUUCGGGUCGUAAAGCUCUGUCGCAGGGGAAUAACACAAUGAAGGUACCCUGUAAGAAAGGAUCGGCUAACUUCGUGCCAGCCGCCGCCGUAAUAC